UCCUUGCUGACAGAGCUGUGGCGGGCCACUCUCUCCAUGCGCCCGACGUAGACGGCACAGUCCUUCUCAAUCUCCUUCAACUCCUCGAGGGAGAAAAUCACUGAGAUCCGGGGGACGGGGACGUCGGACCAACAGAGACGUACACGUCGUGGGCAAUGUGCUUCAGAAACACGGGAACACAGUCCUCCACCUCUUUGGAGAUGAGCACGUAGCCAUGUGUCCAGUACGACUUAUCUAAGGUGGGGCGAACACCAGGGUGGCUGGCAUGGCCGUGGCCCUGAACCCAGGCCCACAGGCACAGACCCCUGCCCCGCAACCAGCUGCCACCUACCUCGGAAGCUGAGGUACUCAUGGUUCACCUGAAUCAUGAACUCGCCAUAAGCGUCUCUGAACACACCGCUGUACACCCAGUCGUGGAUGAACCUGCAAACGGGGAGCAGCAGGGGUAGGCACGGUCAGCAGAGAGCAGGUGUCUGACAAGGGACUGCUCUCAAAUGUCUGUCUGGGGGGAGUGCAUGCCCGCCCAGCCCACCGCCCACCGCCCACCGGGUGUAGGGCUCGCAGCUGGUCUUCAGCAGGGACAGCAGCACAGGGUAGUGCUCGUUGCUGCAGUUGUGCAGCGCCUCCUGGUAGAGGUAGGACAGCAGCUUCACACCCUGCAGACCACAAAGGGGGCGGGGGGGGCAGCUCAGUGCACCCAGCCCUGGGAGUCAGAUGCAGCCCUGCCGGCAGCAGCCCCCCAGGGACACGCUCAGUCGCCCCCUUUCCUGGAACCCGCCAGGCUGACACACUCGGCAGGGACGCACAACUCACGGUGGGAAACGCAGCCCUGGGGCCUCCUCCGCAGGUGCCUGGGAGCACAGCACCAACGCCACAGAGCUCGGCCAGGUACCUAGACCCAGAGGCAGGAUCAGACCAGGUGACCGGGCUCAGGGUCCCCAGGCCUGGAUCAGAUCAUGAGCACAAUCUCCAUGUAUCUUCAUGCUCCGUGGAGCAACUGACUUCAGAUGCAGUCUUUAAAAACCACAUGCACCCCAGCGACCCAGAAAUGGGCUCCCUGGAGGACUUGUGCCCAGCCCUGGGCCUCUGCACUGUCCACACAGACCCACUGAAGUACCCACACCCAACAGGCCCCUCCCUCCCAGGCUCUGGCCAACACACUAAUCACCCUGAUCCUCCCACUUCCGGGGGCUGCACCUGAGAGCCCCUCCCACCCACACAGUGGCACCAAGCACCCGCCACAACUCGCGCCUUCACAGCCCAGGCUCCCCUGCCCCACGGUGUCUCAGCCCUUGGGUCUCCUCAGGGCUGCCACAUUCUGCUCCUCUGCCUGGAAGGUCGCCUCUCCCACUGCUCCCAACGCCCAACUCCUCACUCUUCCUCGUCUGACAGCACUUGCCAGUAGCUCCCCAGCCUGGUUGCUCAGUAACCAGCUUGUGUGUACCAGAAGCCACAUCCCUAGGGACCCUGUGUGCCAAUUAGGCAGGAGCCACCAGGCCUGGAGGGCCUGGAUGGGGCCAGCUGUGGUAGGCCCAUGGGAGACACACCCACUCUGCCUGGCACCUGGUGAACUCGGCCAGCCAAGGGCCAUCCAGUCACCUGCUGAGGGCUGUUCUCACAGGCCCUCCUUGCCAGGAAGCAGAGCAAACCCUCCAUCACCCAGCAGGCUCCAUGCCACUCCUGCAAAGUCCCCUGCUCAGUCGCCAUGCUGAGGCUCACCUGAGCUGCCGGCCCAGUUUCUUGAAGAGAAAACCAAUGGUGAGGAGGCUCAGGGUGGGCGAAGUGGAAAGGACGCAGGCCCGGUAAUACUGCAGGUACCUCCUCAGGCCACUGGUGAAGGCCUGUGGGCAAAGAGGCUGGGAGGAGGGCGGCCAAGCACAUGGACGCAGCUGUGACCAGGGCCUGAGGGGCACCAGUACUGGGCACAGCGCUUUGUUUCCUGCCUCAGCUCUGGGCUCCAUUUCCAAGCAAUGGGCCUCUGUGAGCCACGUCCCACCACUGGACCAGGUGGAAAUGUGGCCCGUCCACAAGAAGCCAGAAGCUGUGGUCCCCCCCACCAACCCUUCCUCUCAUCUGAGACCAGCUGCCCCAGGGGCGUGGCAUAGGGGUUGAGGGGUGAGGGGGGAAAUGGCGGCUGCGCUCUGUGCACAGACACUAGUGCUGUGAGAGCUGCGUCUGCUCGGACCACAGUGGUCUCAGUGGCACCAGCAUCCUGGGCAAUGCCACAGCAGCAGGCCCUGCAGGUCACACCAAGACAGGCGCACCCUGGACCAAUCUCAGUCCACCCACCCCAGAACCCUCCUGGCCACGCCUGCCAGAUGAGUGGGAACCACAGUCCAGCCCUUCUCAGUGUCCCUGCUCUGCCCCCUUCUCCACCAUCUGCAGCCCUCAAGUCCCCCAGGCCUAAGCCUCUGCCUAGAAGCUCUCCCCGUCCCAUGCAGCUCCCACCAUGCCCACCUCCGCAGCCCGUCUAAAACCUAAACCUCACCACAUCACCCCACCCUACAGCCCCUGCUGUGGCAGCAACAGUUGAAGGAGGCUGCGCCACCUGGCUCCUCCAGUGCUCUCUGCCCACCUUCCGAACACCCUCCUCUCAGCCCCCAAAUUACCCAUCAUCCGCCUGCCUAUUCUCUCCCAAUCAAGGUGCAGCCUCUGUCCCAUGGGUCUCUACUCAGCAUAUGAGCCAGCUUCAAGACUCACCAAAGAGCGGCUUCCGGAGCCAGACUUGGCUCAGAACGCCCAGCAGUGUAAAUUCACCCAACACGAGGGCCGGGCAGUGUCAGUCAUCCGCAAUGUGCCGGGCCCACUGGGGAGCAGGCGGCAAGAGCCCCACUAACGCCUUUCCUGCCUCGCAUGCCCCGAAUGCUGGCUGCACCUGCCUCCCACACACCCCAGGGCCCACACGCAUCUGCCCCAGGUUUCCAGUGAGGUCGUGUGCACCGUUCUCACAAGGAUGUGUGACAGCCACGAGGCAGAGGCCGUACCUGGAACACGAGGCCCUUGCUGUACGAAGAGUCCAGGACCGGCUGCAGAGAGAAGUGACUCAGGCGCGUGUAGCAGGUCCCAUACUCGGCCACCUCCGAGAGCAGGCUGCUGAUGCUCUCGGGAGACGCUCCCGACACGUGGACACCCCGCUUCACCACAAAGGCCUGGGCCGGCUGCACAGGGGUAGAGGACACUGCUCAGAGGCCAGGCACCCAGACCCCCAGGAAGGUGCCAUCUCCUUCCACCCUUGCACCCAACCCCACACCACCUAGAGUGCCCCCAGGACCCAAAAGCAAACACCCAGAAGGCGCACCCAGAACUCCUACACUGAGGGACAAAAACGUACAAACCAAAACAAGGCACAAAUUCUCACCACACUGAAAAAUACAUGUUUAAAAUGCCAAGUGUAGAAAAGGGUAGGAAACAACAGAACACCUUCCACAGGACACAAGUACACAGACAGCCUCCUAGGGCAGAAGCUAUAAAACAUGUUUGCCGUGAGACCCGCUCAUUCAACUCUUCGGGAUGAAAGAGCGGAAACGAUGGAAGAUGCACAAAGACUUGCCACAGCACAUUCCCCGCAAUGUGUUUGUAACCAGAGAGUGGAGACCCCCAGUAGAGGGCUCAUGACAACCGAAAUGAACGGGGUGCAGCAGAAGCCAGGAGGGAGGUUACAGCUGCAAAUACGCACGUUAGAAAGGAAAAGAGAUAUCCCACAUUACAAGGAAACAAGAUACUAAAUCACAACA